rnacentral:rRNA from 1 species
AUGGAAGAGAAGGGCUUUCGCGAAGAAGGGAUCGGUAAAGGGAGUAGGGGCAUGGCCUGGUGA